AGUGAACGCUGGCGGUAGGCCUAACACAUGCAAGUCGAACGGCAGCACAGUAAGAGCUUGCUCUUACGGGUGGCGAGUGGCGGACGGGUGAGGAAUACAUCGCAAUCUACUUUUUCGUGGGGGAUAACGUAGGGAAACUUACGCUAAUACCGCAUACGACCUACGGGUGAAAGCAGGGGAUCUUCGGACCUUGCCCGAUUGAAUGAGCCGAUGUCGGAUUAGCUAGUUGGCGGGGUAAAGGCCCACCAAGGCGACGAUCCGUAGCUGGUCUGAGAGGAUGAUCAGCCACACUGGAACUGAGACACGGUCCAGACUCCUACGGGAGGCAGCAGUGGGGAAUAUUGGACAAUGGGCGAAAGCCUGAUGCAGCCAUACCGCGUGGGUGAAGAAGGCCUUCGGGUUGUAAAGCCCUUUUGUUGGGAAAGAAAAGCAGCAGGUUAAUACCCCGCUGUUCUGACGGUACCCAAAGAAUAAGCACCGGCUAACUUCGUG
rnacentral:rRNA from 1 species